AUACAAUCAGUACUAAAUUUGGAGGGUGUUUUCAUCAGUUAUUCAAACUUUUCUUUUUUUCAUUUCUUUUUAAUGUUUUAACUUGUUUUGCAAGCCUUGACUACGCCAACUUUGAAGACCUAGGUACAUCUGCUCGUAGAUGAAAAGUUAUAUAAAGGAGGAGGCCGGUGUGGAUUCCUGAUCUGCCUCCCAUUAACAUAACUCAGGAUGGCUCUCAGAUUUUCUACUACCGUUGUCAUGUUUUGUUUCAUUGCGUUUCUCAUCCUUGCUAACCAUAUUGUUUCCCCUCGACAGCUGAUUUCUAGUCCUAAGGUGGCUAGGGGUUUUGUCGAGGGAACCCCGUCCCCUAUAACUCACCCUUGCACAGCGCAGGGAUGCUUCCCUCCUCAUUGAGACGCGAAAAUCCGUACGAGGUGCUAGCAAAGCAAUUACCUUGUAUCCAUAUGCUUCCAUACAUUGAAAUUCUAAUUUUUUGGAGGAAGCGUUUAUCAUAUAUAUAUAUAUAUUGAUAUUCCCAUUAUAUCUGUCUCUAGUUUAGCAUGCAUCGUUUAUAUAUAUAUGUUGUCUUCAAAUACAAGAGAAGGCCCAUUUCAUCAUGAGGUCGAUGCCUCCCAAGUGUCAAGCAUGAUGUGUAUGGAAAUGAAUAAAUAUAGAUUUUAAGAUA